GACGAACGCUGGCGGCGUGCUUAACACAUGCAAGUCGAACGGAAAGGCCCUGCUUUUGUGGGGUGCUCGAGUGGCGAACGGGUGAGUAACACGUGAGUAACCUGCCCUUGACUUUGGGAUAACUUCAGGAAACUGGGGCUAAUACCGGAUAGGAGCUCCUGCUGCAUGGUGGGGGUUGGAUAGUUUCGGCGGUUGGGGAUGGACUCGCGGCUUAUCGGCUUGUUGGUGGGGUAGUGGCUUACCAAGGCUUUGACGGGUAGCCGGCCUGAGAGGGUGACCGGCCACAUUGGGACUGAGAUACGGCCCAGACUCCUACGGGAGGCAGCAGUGGGGAAUAUUGCACAAUGGGCGGAAGCCUGAUGCAGCAACGCCGCGUGCGGGAUGACGGCCUUCGGGCUGUAAACCGCUUUCGCCUGUGACGAAGCGUGAGUGACGGUAAUGGGUAAAGAAGCACCGGCUAACUACGUG
rnacentral:rRNA from 1 species